UGUCAUCAAUUGUCAUUUUACGUAUAAACAGCUAAUAUCAAAAAGUUGUUUUGCCAAACAUUUUAAUACAAACAGCUAUCAAAUCAGCUAGUCAAACCAACUAAUUGAAUCAACUAACAACUAUCAGCUAAUUGCCGAACACGCCGUAAAUUACUAUUUAUCACUUUGCAAAAGAUAUGAACAAAUAAAAAUAAGGUAUUGAAAAUCACAAGUAAACAAGCACAUUCGUAUGUACUCAGAAUGCUAUUUGUUUGAUUGGGCUAGUCAUGAAUUUUUUAAACUCAUAUUUAUUUUCUGUGGCCUGAUAAGAGUUUGCAUUGUUUGCUUCCUGAUGGACCAUAAAUUUCGAAACAAUUAAUGAAGGCCCACUCAUAAGGCCAUUAAAUUGUGGCCUAAUAAUAUUUAUAAGCCCAAACAUCGAGGCCCGUGAAGAUUCCAGAAGCGCGUGGAGAGAUGAACCCGGUCAAACAACGUGGAUUUUUCACCGCCAUUGGCUCAUCGAAUCAUAUCAGAAAAAGGAAUAAAAUAAUAGCCCUCCUAAACCGACUUCGAGAGAGUUCCUCACUACCCUACGAUCAAAUUAAUCUUGUCCGUCGAUGUUGAUACCAGGCGCCUAUAAAAGGCGCACCUCUGUUGUUGAUUUGAUGUAGCAUCUGGUAAUCGGUAUAGCGUAUAUGAUGAUUUCGUCGGUGCGGCGGGGUUUUGGUUUGUGGAUCGUCGAUAGUUGGUGAUGGCUUAUUUGUUGUAGAUCCGUGCUCCGAUGAUGGAUUGUUUUGAGUUUGCGAGGCCUGGUGUUCGAUAGGAGUUUAAUUCGUCCCUCUUUAUUUAUUUGAUUUGGUCUUUUGAUCGUGCUUCUUCUUGCGGCUGUGGCUUCUACUUGAUUUCUCGUGUGCUCUUCUGUGAUGUAGAAUUCGUGAGGGCGUUUAAUAUGAUGCGUGCAGUCGUCUUAUCGGCGUCGGAUCUCAGAUCUUGGUUUAUUUGUUUAUCGAUUCAUGUUUUCGUUUUAGAUCGUUCCCCUCUACGCGAUUGGUUACUGCCUGACUUUUUGGUAAUACUUCCGUUGUAGAGAUCCUUGAUCUGUGUCGGUGGAUUGCCAAAUCGUGCGCUGGAGUCUGAUUCUGAAUUGCUUCUCGGUGGUUUUCGGAUAUUUGGUUUUCAUCAAUAUUUAGUUUUGUUCCAGAACGUGCUACUUUUACGUGCUAUGGUUGCUACCUGAUUCGGUGGUCUCUCCUUUUGUGUCGUAGAGUUCGUGCGGAUUGUAAUCCUUCGACGAUUUUGCUAUACAAGGACCGACGGCUGAUAUAAGCGAUUGGAUCUCGGUUACCUGAUCUAUUAAUCUCUAGUUUUUUUUUUUUUUUUUUAAGAACGUUCCUUUUGUCUAUGUUCCGGUGAUUGCCUGAUAGCCCUGGGUUUCUCCUUUCUCUGUUGUGGAAUUUGUGCAGAUAGUAAGCGUGGCUCCGGUCCACUCUUAACAAGUGCUCAUGUCUCCUGUGACACCGGAUCUAAGUUUCAGAAUCUAUUGAUCUAUAGUUCCCUUUUUCUUUUUAAAAUUUUAAAAGAUCGUUCGUUAUUCUCUGUUUCAAUUUUGCCUGAUCUUUUGGUAUUCUAAUUUCCUGCUGUAGAGAUUGUGCGAAUCGUUAUUCUGGCGAUCUGCUCUUAACAAGUGCUGGCUGUUCAUAGAGGACAAGAGUCGGUUAAAUCGUUUAUCUACCUCUAGUUAGGGUUUAACAUUCUUUCUUAUCUGUUUUUUUGGUCUUUUAACCUUUUUUGGUGUAGACUGUGCUGGACGUUAUGUUGGAGAUGGUUUGCCUAAGAAGUGCUUUUCUAUUGACCUGUGAUCGGACCCAAGUUUGUUUGUUUAAAUUAAUCUUUGGUGUUGAUUCAGAAUAUGCCAUAUCUGUGUGAUCUAUUCCUGCCUGAUCACCGGCUUUCUUUCUGUUGUAGAGUUUGUGUUUCCAGCUGUGGUUUGCCUUAACAAGCAGGGGAAGUUGAUUUGGGAGUGAUUUAUAUAUUUAGUCUGUUAAUCUGUGUUUGCUUUCUUCCGAUCUCCUUUUGCCCAGCCUAAUUGCUUGGUAUCUGCUGUGUUGUAGGCUUUUGUGGUUUUUUUAGGUCGCAUGGAUUCGUUUAUGAAGGGCAAUGCUCUAGGGUUUUUAAUCUUCAGUUUCAAUUUGGCUCUAGUUUUUCAUUCAUUGCCUCUGCUCUGCUCUCUCUGUCGCUGCCGUUUAUUCUAAUGUCUUAAAAUGAUUUUUCAAUGCAGUGAAAGAGUUUAUUGGCCAAAAGUGCUUUCAGUGCUUUACACAAAGUUUUGGUUUGUUUACAUGAUUUCUUAAUUUCCUUUUGGCAGUCAUGAUAAUUAAGUACCUAUGAAAUUUCUAAUUCUGGUCCGUAGAAGCUGUUCUUUUUCUUGCAGAUAAUUUAUGAUUCCAACUGCUCUAUCUGUUUUGAAGCAUUGAUUUCUUGGGUUUAGAGCUCUAACAAACGCUGGGAAUGUCCCUUUUGCAUCAUGCUGUGUUUUGGUUGUCUUCCUUUAGAUCUUUUGAAAGUUAUUAUGGCUUUUCUGUUAAGAUUUCUUUUACAUUUAUUAUUAGGUCAUGACCUGCCUGUUGCAGCCCCUGUUUUAUCUUUACAAGCUAUUGUUGCCUUCUCAAUUUUGUUGCAGAACUUAUUUAAGCGAGACUGUGGUGGUAAUCGACUAGUCGAUGUAUUGAUGGAUAUACUUGGUUUAGUUUAUUUCUUUCUAAUCCCUCAGCUUCUUAGCCUAAACUUUCAUUAUUCUUUAGUUUUUCUUUUGCAUAUGCCCUUGAUUUUUUGCAGAAUUUUGGGUAUGUUGCCAAAGCUGUCUUUAGAGAGGAGCUUCUGUGUGCCACUUUUCAUCUGUUGGAGCUAAGGAUUUGUAGCCUUUGUAGCCACCAUUUGGUGUUUUGUAUGACUGGAAAAUUUCCAAUAUGUUCUUACCAGCAUGUACCUGCACCUAAUGGUAGUAUCAGGCAUCAGUAAUCUGUCUUAAAUAUUUCUCACAAUUAGUUUAUUUAUUUUCAAGUUGUAUAUGUAAUCUUUGAACAUCCUUCUCUUUGAGCCUUGUUUUCCCUAGUGUGGUUGUGGUUUUUACAUGAUUUUCAGGCAGCAUGGCACAGGUUUCUUCACUAAUCUCUAGUGGUAUUGUCCACGACAUCUUUCCUUGUACAUGCAUGAUUUGUCGUCGCCCUUUUUAUUUUAUAUAGAAUCUGGAAGACUGAUCUAAGUUCGAAUUGGAGAAAAAUGUUUUUAAAGGGUUUUAUGAGUUGGAAGUUUCUAAGUAGCCUAUCCACAUCCUCUAUUUUGAAGCUUCUAUAUCAAGGUUGCCCACAUCUCCUAAGCAUGAUUCCUUCAUUCAUUAUUUUUAUGUGGUGGCUUUGACCGUUCAUGAUUUCUCUCGACUGAUGGAGCUGAAGGUGACAUGUUGAUGAUUGUAUUUUGUGUUUCUCUAGUAUUGAAGACAUUUUAUUUAUUGGAGUAUACCCUGCAGUUUCUUUGAUGCAUUGUUCUUCGCCAAUUUUGUAAUCAGAUCCUCCUAAUAGUAAGUUGGAAGUUGUAUCUUUCUUGAAUUGGGACAAUUCAUCGGACAACUUGUUCUCACUUUGCUCUCUUCCCAUUAUCUGAUGAGGUGUCUAUGCAUGCUCUUUGCUUUCUGAUGGUGUUAUAAGUGGAUUGAACAAGCUGCUUCUAGGAUGAUAUGAUGAUUAUAAAAUGGUACUGAGGUAUCUACAAAUGGUUAUGCUUUGCAAGUCAGCUCUCUGUUUUUGCUUUGCAUUAUUUUGCAUGGUUAGUCUGUUUUGAUUUUGUGGAUGGAACUCCUAUUUUAGGAUAUGAUAUGAUGGUUCACAGUGUUUCUGGUGUGUGUGAGUGCUGGUGAAGUUUUGAUCUCAAGUUGGUAAAAGAUGCUGUGUUAAAAAUUUCAACUGUGAUGUCCUGGUGAUGAUGUCUCUAGUAGAAUCCUCAAGGUGGCUAAGAGCUGUUGCCUGACUUAGAACUUUGGCCUGCGCUGUCCAAAUGACUGGUUUCUACUUACGUUACUUUGGGUCCAAUUUGCUUGGAGUUGAAGUGCUUUUCUCAGCCAGCUACUCUUCGAUAUUGUUGGUCCUCGUCUUCUGCUUAAUGUAACCAUUUCGUUUGUGUAUGCUGUAGCGAUCUGCCUAUGGGAUACAGUUGUAACAUUUGUCUAGUUGUUUGGUCUGUUGUGCUAUUGAUUUAUUAUUCUUUGAGUUCUAGCUGCCUUUGGUUGGUAGCAAUGCUCUUAGAUAGAAUAUAUACUUGUCACUUGUAUAUUUUAAUUGUAUUGCUUUAGCCCUUUAUGAACGGAUAAUGUUUAGUAGGAAGGGCUAAUACUUUGUAGGUUUGAAAUCUAAUGUCAAGUAUCUAGUGGAUUUCCAUCUUACUGUUACUA